UGGGGAAUUUUCCGCAAUGGGGGCAACCCUGACGGAGCAACGCCGCGUGCGGGAGGAAGGCCUUUGGGUUGUAAACCGCUUUUCUCAGGGAAGAAGCUCUGACGGUACCUGAGGAAUCAGCCUCGGCUAACUCCGUGCCAGCAGCCGCGGUAAUACGGAGGAGGCAAGCGUUAUCCGGAAUCAUUGGGCGUAAAGCGUUCGCAGGCGGCGAUUCAAGUCUGCUGUCAAAGCCCGCAGCUCAACUGCGGACAGGCAGUGGAAACUGAAUGGCUAGAGUGCGGCAGGGGUAGAGGGAAUUCCCGGUGUAGCGGUGAAAUGCGUAGAUAUCGGGAAGAACACCAGUGGCGAAAGCGCUCUACUGGGCCGCAACUGACGCUCAGGGACGAAAGCUAGGGGAGCGAAAGGGAUUAGAUACCCCCGUAGUCC
rnacentral:rRNA from 1 species